AGGCUUCAAACCUCGGGGGGCUUAGCGGCCCAGUUGUUCGAUU
rnacentral:tRNA from 1 species